CCUGUGUUAUUAAUCUAUUUUCUAGUCUAUUACUUUUUAUUGAGGCACUAGCAUGGAAAGGCUAAAACACAUCUCAUUACUUAACGUAUAUUUUAGAACUUUGCACAUUAAUGUCAUUUGGUAGGAAAUACGAAGUAGGAACUCCAGAAAAUUUAAAACUGUUUCAUUCUGACAACACAGCUGUCAUGCAGAAACACAUCUCCACAAGACCUUCCCCACGGGGCAGCCUGAAGUAGUUUCCUUUAUUGAUUGUGUAAGAACCAUGUGGAGUCUGCUGUGUCAACAGUUAAGGAGAAUACUGUGCAUAUUUUUCUUAGUCCUUUUUGUUUUCUUUUUCCCCUUUUUGGUCAGAUUGUGAUCUGGGAAAAGCAGUUGUGUCUUACGAAAUCACUUAGGUUUUUUUGUCAGAUAUUUUGUACCCCCAAGACUUCUCCCCAUUUAACUUAUUGGAGUCUCAGUGACUCCGAGCUGAAGGAAAGCUGAACUGUUCUUGGUUAGGAGAGAAACAGAAGGUAUGUCUGAAGCAUUUUAGUCCUAGGAGCUCAGGUAAUCCUUCAGGAAUGUCUUAGGAUUGUUUGCAUAUGCUUGAAGCUUUAAUAUGCAUAAAAAAUCUGGUCGCUGUGUUAGCUGUUAUUGGCGUUUUUACAAAUGUCCAAUUUUGAUAAACACAACGGAAUAUCUAAAACUUGCUUGGAGUUUUUUGAAGUCAGAUUUCCAAAUCUGAUGAAUUUUCAUAAAACUGAUCACCUGAGGUAUUUCCAGGUUUUCAUUUUUAUGUUUCUAGCUGAGAAAAUGUGACUGCGAAUGUACAAACGCUAAAGAUCUGGCUUUGUGCAUAGCAUUGUAGAUGUACUGACCCUUUACACAAGCUGUUGAGCACUUAAGAGACAUCUGGUUAGAUUUUCUUCUGAACUACUGCCGUUGAUCUACAAAAUCCAUUUAUGUGUGCUUAACAACUGCUAUGCGAAGCCUGCUGUCUUAAUGAGGCUUGUCCCUGCCUCCUCCUGUUCAUUGUUUGUUCAAGUAUUUUUCAAUCCAGAAUACUUGCAGUAUGUGCAGUUUAUUGCAUUAAGUGGUAGUGGGCAUGUUCUAAUCUUUUAGCCAGGAUAGGGGUUUUUUUUUUACACAGCUGAAUUUAUGUUACUCCUUUAAGGAGACCCCAGUGUUAGUACUGAUUGACUAUUUGGAUGUGGUGGAUCACCGUGGUUUGUUACUCUGUGUGAGCAAAAUUCCAAGUUCACAUACAGAGGGAAAGUAGAUGCCGGAAAGGAAAUCUCCCGUUAACUAAAACCUUAAAUAAAUUUCCUUAAGAAAGCCAAGUGAUCGGUUAGCAAUCUUGCAACUGCACUUCAAAUUCUUCCUAGUUUAAUAUAUUUCCUCUUCUUAGCACGUGAACUGUUACAAAAGGCAGAAGCUCUCUUUUGUUUUUCCAAACUGCUAUCUUUUCUUUAAGCCAAAAUACACGUGCGUUGACAUUGCCAAGUGGUUCCUUCUUCAGGUAGGAAAGUAGAAGCGUGUUCAGACAUGUCCUGGAGGUUGGGACAAAUGCCAGAAAAUGCGUAGCUCAAAUAAAGCAUCCACAGUUUCAUUUUUACUGCUUUCAACAGCAAUCAGAUCUCUAAUUAAACUCCAUUACCCUAGAAUAAAGUAGACCUUUGAAGAUGCAAAUCAAUAAUCAGAGCAAAUGCCACAUUUGCUGCGUUAGGAAAGUUUUGAAGCUUUGCCCACACUACACAUCCUUCCAACUUUAAGCCCUCUAACUUGUUUUAGGCUUAACGAAAUCAUACGGAUUAAUAUUUAGAGCAGAGAGGUAAUGGGCCUUUUGGAAUACAAGCCAACUAAAGAAUGUGGUUUCCUCCCCCUGUCGAACAUGAAACUUGCAAGGUUUUGGCUAUUAAGCUGUUCAACCUGUGUUUAAAAGUAUUUGCUGCAGAUCUAAAUGCACCAGCAUUGCACCAACAGCAAGGUCAUCUUUAACGGCUUGCUUAAAAACAGUACCGUGAAGGUGGACCUCACAAAGAACCUAUAAAUGCCGGUAUAACACACAGGCUCUGUGACAGCAUACAAUUCACUGAUUUCCUUUGUACACAAGAACAAUGAAGUUUCGAGUAAAUGCUUUGAGAGAGUACACAAACAAGCCUUUUAAAGCAAGUGAAUGUGUCCUUUUAUGUCUUUCCCAUUAAACAGCCAUCGGCUGAUGAGGCUACUCGUGCAUUUGAAUGCCUGGGAAACAACCCAUGCUGUAGGCAACAUAUUCAAAAGUUAGACCUAAACCACAGAAAUACCAGCUCAAUAGGACACAUUUCAUCCUGCUAACGUGUAUGGAAUCAGAUUACUUAGUCCUCGUAACCAUCAAGCUUCACAGAAUAAGACUAGGUAACUGAGAUUAUUUUAACCUUCUCAUGUUCUGCCAAGUGCCUUCAGAAGUGUUCCUUUCUUAAGUGUUCUUAGGUAAAAAAUGCUAUUUAAGAGCAUCCAGAAUUAACGUGGCCUCAAAACUACUAAUAAUGCUGUUCCAGAUGUUUGUGGUGAAUUGUUCAGCAGGAAAAUUAAUAAAGUCAUACUUACAC
ensembl:lncRNA